GAUAAGGUCGUAUUAUCGUAUAUAGCUCUUGUAUAGUUUGGUUAAUAGCUGAUUGUAUACUGGUACAUAUAAACCGGUCUAUUUACUUUUGGUUUAAUCAGUUGGGUCAUGUAUAUAAACAGAGUCUGUAGAUUCGAAACUAAUUAAUGAGAAUAAUGAUGUUUACUCAUACGGUAUCAGAGCGACUCAUAGGUCAAGCUCCCCUCCCCUUUUCUCUCUCGAGUCGAAGCCUUCAGAUCUGAACGCGUGUUGCUCCGGCUACCGGCGAACGUUAGCAUCAGCGUGCCGGAGGCGUCUCCCUCCUUUCAUCUCGUCUUUCCUUUUCUUCGUCUCUCCUUCCGUCGCAGAUCUCGCUGGGUUAGUUUGUUUCUGUGGUGCGUCAAUUGUUGUCGCCUCCUGCUCGAGAGGUAACUGGAGUCGUCGCCGUGGAUUCGUUUCUACAGUAACAUCGAGGUGAGCUCGGCGGUGGGGGGAGAGCAUUUAGAGUUUAGCCGUUCAGAUCCCCAUUCCUUUUCAGAAUUGAACGCGUGUGGUUGCAAGCGGUGGCGAUAGAGGUUCUAUGUCAGGUCUCGGCCUGGUUUUGAGUUCCAGAGAGCUGUUGAUGCGGCUUGCAUCUUGGUGUUAAGAAGCGGCGGUCUUCCCAUACUCCGGUUAGGCGAGCUCUGGAGUUUCUUUUACUCAGGAACGCAUGCAGGGGAAUGGCUUCGCUGUGUAGCGGUGCCUCUCUUCUGGUUACGGCAUGUGGUGUUCUGAGCUGCUUCAUAGCCUAGCGGUCGUCUAUGGCUGUCUUGGUUCAAGCUACUUCGGCCACCCUCCUCUCCUUUUGUCUCUGCUGCGAUUAGUUGUUCACAUACCACCUUCGCGGAAGUGGCAUCCUUCGGCUUGGUGCUUGCUUGUGGGUGUCAUUGUUUAUUUGGUUUUCGUUGUCAACGAGACCAUCUCUUCUUUGUUCUGUUGUGGUCCGUCUCUUGGUUCUCAAGAGCGGCUGUAGGUGUGGUGCUUUGUUAGCCGUGUUGUCUCCCGCUUCUGGGUGCCUUGGUGACUCCUGCUUUGUUGACAGCUCAUUCCGAUGUUUCCUCUGGUGCUUAUCAGUGGAGGCAGAGUUUGUUUUCUAACCAUCUUAUGCAGGUUCUCGAGCUUCGGUGGAGAAUUGGUAGCGACUUUCACAAACCCGUCUUAGUAAGUCUCGAGCUUCAUUGAAAGCUUCAGAUGCGGCGGUGAUGAGAAAGUGGAGAUUUUGGUCUUCCGCCCCGAUUAACCAGACCAGCCAGCCAUACGGAUGUCGGGUCCGGGGAUAUGACAAGCGACUCAGCCAUGUAUCUUUUUUCAUGUUGGGUCCGGAGUGUUGGAAUAAAGAAGGAAAAAGCAAUAGCUGAGAAUGAUCAAGUCGUCCUUGUGCAAAGAUGGUACAAACCGAGAUCACAUGUCAACUUAACCAAAGACCUGUUAGGAUCUGUCACUUUCACUCCAUCUGGUCGUGCCACUGCCAUACUGUCCCAGCCAGCCUUCCCCUUCUGAUUUCCCACAAUAUUAUUUAUUUACUCAUUCCCUGUUUUAUUAGUUGUUUAAUGUGUUUGUUUGUCUUGUAACUUUCGCUAUAAAGCCAUAAACCUUGUAUUACGAAAUUGUUAAGCUGAAUGGGGGAGUUCCCCUUUCUUCUUCACCAUUCUCUGGUCUCAAUACAAUCUCUACUCUGGUUAUUCUAUUCUCACAGAUUCUCUCUUAAACUUUCCAUAAUCUCUCAUACUUUCUGAAGUGAAAGUUAACUCUUUCCUUCACCAAUUAUCUUUCUCUGGUUACUUUACCCUCCAUACUCUCUAUUCUCUAGUUACCCACGAGCUCAGUCACACUCACACCUUCAAACAUUCUUAUUCUCUGUUUUGCAUACAAUAUGUCUAGCAGUCUCAUUCUCUUUGUUUCUCAGUCUUUCUCUUGUUACUCUCAACCAGACUCUCACAUACAUUCACACACCAUACUCUGUCUAUUUUCACAUGGCAUCAGAGCUCCAAAGCUCCUAAAAAUCACAAACUUCCGCAAAUUAAGCACAAGCUCACCCUCAUUGCUGUUCAAACCAUUGGAGAAGUUUCUGUCUUGUUGGCUGUUCAAUCUCUUCAAGAGGAAGAAGACUGCAACUAUGGCAUGUCCAGUGACUUCCCAAGGUCUAUCCUUUCCCUUUUUCAGCAAGAAGAGAUCUCUUGGAGAAAAAAGGUUUUGGAGAUGUUUGGCAAGCAAUACUCCAAACCAAGUCUGUACAAGCCAUUUUCAUGUUCUUUCCAAGAUGAAGUCUCCCACUGUGUUCCAGAAGGUGGCGCCUGGUAAUCAGGAAGAAAGGAUGGGUCUUAGCAAUGAGUGGUUCAAAGGGAAAGCACACACGAGAAAAUGGAGUGGGAUAGAGAACCCAAACUCCAAAUCUGUCAAGUUCAAGUGAACUGUGUGCCUUGAAGGUUCAAGGAACCAGCUCAGGUUCCUUGGUUGUAAGUUAACCUCCUAACCCUUAUAAGAGCUUGUGUAGUUAUGUCUGGUUGUGUUGAAUGGUGUGUUUGAUAUUCUUGGGACAGGUUCAAGUUGCUAGAGUUGUUGAACCUAGUUUCUAUCCCAUGAUACUUAAGUUGUGAGCAAUGUGCUAGGAGUUUUUUUUUUUUUUGGUUUGCUAGCAUGGUUAUGUCUAGUUUAUGUCCUAUAAUCAUUAUUUGUGUUGUGUAUGGUCUAGGCGAUUUACUUAGCUCAAGUUUUUGUGUCUUGUUGCAUUGCUAGAGGUCUAGGAGAGUUUCCUGAUCUUGUAUUGCAUCCAUGAGUUGUUUAAAGGGAUUAGAUGAGUUGUCUAGUCUCUGUUUUGUCAUUUAAAUUAUGUUGCUGUUCAAUUGAUCAUAAAAAUAGCUUAAAUGUCUUGUAAUUGAUGAGUUGCCAUACUUGAACAUUUAGUGAAAAUUGCUUGCAUGGAUUUGAACUUAAUGAGUUGUUUAGAUUUUGUCCAUUGCAUUUUCUUAAAACAUUGGGAUCAGACUUGGUGAGUUAUCAAUGUCUGAUCCUAGUGUGUGUGGCUUGAUUCUUGCUGGAGUUUGAGUGAUGUUUCAGGUACACAAGAGGUGAUCUCUGUCCAUCAUCAAACUAAGACAAAGAAGAAGGCAUUGCUCAUGUGUUCAGAGCCUACACAGCUGUUUGGUUGUUGCGCUUCUGGUUCAAGAGACACACAAGGAAGACUGGUGGUUUAAGGCAGGGGAGCAAAGAACAAAGGUGAAUCAGUUGGCUUAAGCGCAGCUGCUAGGGUGAUGCGCUCCUGAUUUCAAGUUCAGUAUUGAUCACUUCCAAGCUUGGUCCUUCACAUAUUCUCUCUGGAUCAAGCUUGAGGAGGGGUAAUAGUGAGCUAUCCUAAAGGUCCAAGUCGUCCAAUGCCUUGCCUAAGUUCAAAAGGAGGAUUCAAGUGUCCAAAAGACACUCCUCAUCAGUCCCAUUCUACUCAUAUGCAAAGGGAGUAACCAGUUCAAUCUUUGAGUUGAAGUUUGAUUGGUUUAUGCCUUGAGAAUUGAUGCAAGUGUUUAUGCUUUGUGUUGUAGGUACUUGGAGCUCUCUUUGAAAGAAGCUGGACGUCUCUAAACUCCUUUAAAGAUGGGCUAGUAGUCAGAAGAAAGGGGGAGACACAACCUGUCUAAAGAAGAGUCCAAGAAGUUGGUGUGUAUGCAAGGUGUGGAGUUCACACUUGCAGCACAAGAUUAGGCCAAGAUCCAGAGUCUAAGGACUCCACCAUGAGUUAUCUGAAGUUCCUUAGACUCACUUGCCAAUCCCUAGGCUGAGGGUAGUUGCACUCUUUUUCCCUAAGUGAUGGUUUUAUCCCAUGAGGUUUUCCACACUUAGGUUUUUAACGAGGCAAGUGCUCUCAGUUCCAAGCUUGUCCAAGGAUCUCCUAUGGUCAAGCUUGAGGGGGAGUGUUGGAAUAAAGAAGGAAAAAGCAGUAGCUGAGAAUGAUCAAGUCGUCCUUGUGCAAAGAUGGUACAAAAGAAAUAAAGCACAUGAAAGAUCAAGAAAUGUGUGAUGUCCGGAUCAGUCUUGAAUCACCAAAAGAGGAAUGUGCAAAGUCCGGGUCAAGUUCACUUCGGUGCAAAAGGAUCAUGAUUAUGUUGGUGCAAAGAUACGGAGUUCCUAUCUACCAAGAAUCUUCAUCAGAAAGUAUUGAAGCAGUUUGGCGCCAAAAGAGUUCGGUUUGAAUUCAAACGGAGAUCACAUGUCAACUUAACCAAAGACCUGUUAGGAUCUGUCACUUUCACUCCAUAUGGUCGUGCCACUGCCAUACCAGACUGUCCCAGCCAGCCUGCCCCUUCUGAUUUCCCACAAUAUUAUUUAUGUACUCAUUCCCUGUUUUAUUAGUUGUUUAAUGUGUUUGUUUGUCUUGUAACUUUGGCUAUAAAGCCAUAAACCUUGUAUCACGAAAUUGUUAAGCUGAAUGGGGGAAUUCCCCUUUCUUCUUCACCAUUCUCUGGUCUCAAUACAAUCUCUCUAACUCUGGUUAUUCUA